CCCUAGUAGAGUGGCGAACGGGUGAGUAAUACAUCGGAACAUGUCCUGUAGCGGGGGAUAACCUCGAGAAAUCGAGGCUAAUACCGCAUACGUCCUAAGGGAGAAAGCGGGGGAUCGCAAGACCUCGCGCGAUUGGAGCGGCCGAUAUCAGAUUAGGUUGUUGGUGAGGUAAAAGCUCACCAAGCCGACGAUCUGUAGCUGGUCUGAGAGGACGACCAGCCACACUGGAACUGAGACACGGUCCAGACUCC
rnacentral:rRNA from 1 species